rnacentral:rRNA from 1 species
AUUGAACGCUGGCGGAAUGCUUUACACAUGCAAGUCGAACGGCAGCGCGGGGCAACCUGGCGGCGAGUGGCGAACGGGUGAGUAAUAUAUCGGAACGUACCCAAGAGUGGGGGAUAACGUAGCGAAAGUUACGCUAAUACCGCAUACGAUCUAUGGAUGUAAGCAGGGGACCUUCGGGCCUUGUGCUCCUGGAGCGGCCG